rnacentral:lncRNA from 1 species
CCAUGGAUAAAUUUAUGCAAGCUUCUCAUCAAUGCUGUAUCUCUUUCAAUUAAAAUACCGAAGAUAAAACAGAGUUAUGUUUUCUCCAGUGGGUCCCAAAUGUAUUGGUCAUUAUGUCGUGACGUCAUAUAUCGAAUGACGUCGUUGUUUGGCAUGUUACGUCACAGACGUUGUUCUGUCGUAUUUUCCGGCAUAUGAAAUGCAACCUUGAAAAACGGUCGGCAGCAAGAGGGUUAAGUA